AACGAACGCUGGCGGCAGGCUUAACACAUGCAAGUCGAACGCAUCGCAAGAUGAGUGGCAGACGGGUGAGUAACGCGUGGGAACAUACCCUUUUCUACGGAAUAGCUCUGGGAAACUGGAAUUAAUACCGUAUACGCCCUACGGGGGAAAGAUUUAUCGGGGAAGGAUUGGCCCGGGUUGGAUUAGCAAGUUGGGGGGGUAAAGGCCUACCAAGGCGACGAUCCAUAGCUGGUCUGAGAGGAUGAUCAGCCACAUUGGGACUGAGACACGGCCCAAACUCCUACGGGAGGCAGCAGUGGGGAAUAUUGGACAAUGGGCGCAAGCCUGAUCCAGCCAUGCCGCGUGAGUGAUGAAGGCCUUAGGGUUGUAAAGCUCUUUCACCGAUGAAGAUAAUGACGGUAGUCGGAGAAGAAGCCCCGGCUAACUUCGUGCCAGCAGCCGCCGUAA
rnacentral:rRNA from 1 species